CAUUUGCUAGACAGAGUCCCAUCUCCCUCUCUUUAAAUCCUCUCUGAAAUCUAUGGGCGAAUCUAUGCAGUGGCCACCCCGUUAGCUGCAGGAACCUCUCCCUGCUUUAGGCAGGCACAAUCGCUGCACUCCAUCUCAUUACCCACACGCACAGAUCUCUACACCUGAUGCUAUCACCAGGUCUCUCCUUCACACACCGCCCACCACUUUCCACAGUCUUUUCAGCUGCUGUCAUCUGCACCCUCCCAUGCUGCAGGGACUUCAGUCAUCUCUGCUAUUCGUUACACAGCAGUGUUUUGUGCUGCAUUUCAGAUCCAGAAUUUCCAUUCAGCUCUCAGGAGAACAGAGAUGAAGAAGUUUUCCUUAACAGAGUCAGCCUGGAGGUACUUAAUAUUCCUUCUGCCCAACUCAAUGAAAUCUACUCUGCUUUGCUCCAGGAAACAUUUGUCUAGAGAACCCAGAGGAACUUUCUUGGAGCACCUGAAGGCAUCUUAUGUAUCCAUAAAUUUCUCAAAGACAGUUCCAGGGAGAAGCCAAUCCUGCAAAACUACAUGAGCAUCAACAGAAGAACAGUGACAGCAGCAGCCAAAGCGGCAGCAAGGAUUCAUCAGCAAAAGGUCUCCAAUGUCGACAGACUCUACUGUAAACUCAUCUAUCUUCCCACGCUCAAAUUUGUUCUUGUUAAGCUUGGAGGCCUUCAGGCUGACUAUCCC